AAGUUCCACAAAUGGUGAAGAAAAUGGCAAGGGAAGACGCCUGGUAAAUGUUUCAAGUAAAAUUCAGCAAUGGAGUUUCUGGAAAGCCAAGCAUACAUAACCAAAGGAUAUUUUCAUAGAAUGGACUUCUGUAGGCCAAAAAAAUAAAGACAACUUCAAGAAGAGUGACAUUUAGAAGAAAGAACAUUCAAUUGAUA